rnacentral:rRNA from 1 species
UACGUAGGGGGCGAGCGUUGUCCGGAAUGACUGGGCGUAAAGGGCGUGUAGGCGGCUCAAUAAGUCUGGAGUGAAAGUCCUGCCUUCAAGGCGGGAAUUGCUUUGGAUACUGUAGAGCUUGAGUGCAGAAGAGGUAAGCGGAAUUCCCAGUGUAGCGGUGAAAUGCGUAGAGAUUGGGAGGAACACCAAUGGCGAAGGCGGCUUACUGGGCUGUAACUGACGCUGAGGCGCGAAAGCGUGGGGAGCGAAC